CCGUAGGUGAACCUGCGGAAGGAUCAUUACAGAAAGUAAACGCGGAUCAAACCGCGAACUUCUAAACCUUUGACGAUUGACUCAUGUUGCCUCGGCGGGUCCUCCCGCCAGAGGAUACAUCAAAACUCCUGUUUUAACGGUGUUGUCUGAGCUACAAGCAACGAAUCAAAACUUUCAACAACGGAUCUCUUGGUUCUGGCAUCGAUGAAGAACGCAGCGAAAUGCGAUAAGUAGUGUGAAUUGCAGAAUUCAGUGAAUCAUCGAAUCUUUGAACGCACAUUGCGCCCCUUGGUAUCCCGAGGGGCAUGCCUGUUCGAGCGUCAUUUCACCACUCAAGCCUGGCUUGGUGUUGGGCGACGUCCCCCUUUAGGGACGCGCCUCGAAACGCUCGGCGGCGUGGCACCGGCUUUAAGCGUAGCAGAAUCUUUCGCUUUGAAAGUCGGGGCCCCGUCUGCCGGAAGACCUACUCRCAAGGUUGACCUCGGAUCAGGYAGGGAUACCCGCUGAACUUAAGCAUAUCAAUAAGCGGAGG
rnacentral:rRNA from 1 species